GAUGAACGCUGGCGGCGUGCCUAAUACAUGCAAGUCGAACGAACAGACAAGAAGCUUGCUCCCCUGACGUUAGCGGCGGGCGGAUGGGUGACAAAUGGAUAACCUACCUCUUAUUCGGGGGUAACAACGGAAGGCAACAUAUAAUAACACCUCAUAUAUUGAACCGCAGGGAUCAAUAGUUAUUCACAGUUUUGCUGACUCUUAGAGAUGAAUCCGUGUCGGAUUAGCGAGUUGGUAAGGUAACGGCUUACCAAGGCAACGAUGCGUAGCCGACCUGAGAGGGUGAUCGGCCACACUGGAACUGAGACACGGUCCAGACUCCUACGGGAGGCAGCAGUGGGGAAUCUUGGACAAUGGGCGAAAGCUUGACGCAGCAACGCCGCGUGAGUGAUGAAGGUCUUCGGAUUGUAAAACUCUGUUAUUAGGGAAGAAAAGAUGUGUAAGAAUCCAUGCACGUUUUGACGGUACCCAAUCAGAAAGCAACGGCUAACUUCGUG
rnacentral:rRNA from 1 species